GUCAAGUUUUCUGUAUGUUUUCUUCUGUACUAGUAAAGUUUCGCUAAACAGUUCGCAUUACGCUUCGAGUCGCGUCAGCCGUUCUUGUACAGUUCGCGAACCGGAUGCGCGCGCAUCCUACUUACGGGUUUGAACUGAUCACCGAUUAAAUUUAUUUCAUUUUUUUAAAGUUAAAACUACAUUAAAUAUAUUUUUAUUUUGAAUUUUAUUGUCAGUUCUAGCUACCUAUGAGAUUUUGUAUCAUUUUAUAAUCGUCAGGUGUGCUGUUUUUUUCGCGAGUGAUUGUGAGCAUUACAAUGCUUUUAGUAAAAUUUGAUAAAAUUUUCACAGUUUACUUGCGCAUUUAAAAAAAAAUGUUCGAAAUAAAAGUGCUAUGGUGUGUUAAAGUAAAAAAAAUAUAUGUAUUUGCAAAUACGAAAUGUUCCCGUGCUUAAAUGGAGAGAAUACAAUACCUACCUGUGCGAUUCAUUAUGUUCAUUCCAUGUAAACAAAGAUACAUAUUGUAGAGGGAAGAGAUGGCGAUGGCUACAAAUGGCGCAGAUUCGAAUAUGCGCUCAUGUAGCGAUGACUGGACUUGAUCGUAGCUCGCAACUGGUUUUCCGGCGAGGUAUUCCCUGCUUGUAGAUCCCAGACAGUGCCGCACUAAUGAUAUCAUCCUGUUAACGACACAUGACGUCAUUUA